CGGUGAUCUAGCCAUGGGCAGGUUGAAGGUUGGGUAACACUAACUGGAGGACCGAACCGACUAAUGUUGAAAAAUUAGCGGAUGACCUGUGGCUGGGGGUGAAAGGCCAAUCAAACCGGGAGAUAGCUGGUUCUCCCCGAAAGCUAUUUAGGUAGCGCCUCGUGAAUUCAUCUCCGGGGGUAGAGCACUGUUUCGGCUAGGGGGCCAUCCCGGCUUACCAACCCGAUGCAAACUGCGAAUACCGGAGAAUGUUAUCACGGGAGACACACGGCGGGUGCUAACGUCCGUCGUGAAGAGGGAAACAACCCAGACCGCCAGCUAAGGUCCCAAAGUCAUGGUUAAGUGGGAAACGAUGUGGGAAGGCCCAGACAGCCAGGAUGUUGGCUUAGAAGCAGCCAUCAUUUAAAGAAAGCGUAAUAGCUCACUGGUCGAGUCGGCCUGCGCGGAAGAUGUAACGGGGCUAAACCAUGCACCGAAGCUGCGGCAGCGACACUGUGUGUUGUUG
rnacentral:rRNA from 1 species